rnacentral:rRNA from 1 species
GAUGAACGCUGGCGGCGUGCUUAACACAUGCAAGUCGAACGGUGAAGCAGGAGCUUGCUCUUGUGGAUCAGUGGCGAACGGGUGAGUAACACGUGAGCAACCUGCCCCUGACUCUGGGAUAAGCGCUGGAAAUGGCGUCUAAUACUGGAUACGUGAUGUGACCGCAUGGUCUGCAUCUGGAAAGAAUUUCGGUUGGGGAUGGGCUCGCGGCCUAUCAGCUUGUGGGUGAGGUAAUGGCUCACCAAGGCGUCGACGGGUAGCCGGCCUGAGAGGGUGACCGGCCACACUGGGACUGAGACACGGCCCAGACUCCUACGGGAGGCAGCAGUGGGGAAUAUUGCACAAUGGGCGGAAGCCUGAUGCAGCAACGCCGCGUGAGGGAUGACGGCCUUCGGGUUGUAAACCUCUUUUAGCAGGGAAGAAGCGAAAGUGACGGUACCUGCAGAAAAAGCACCGGCUAACUACGUGCCAGCCGCCGCGGUAA